rnacentral:rRNA from 1 species
GAGUUUGAUCGUGGCUCAGAGUGAACGCUGGCGGUAGGCCUAACACAUGCAAGUCGAACGGCAGCACAGAGGAGCUUGCUCCUUGGGUGGCGAGUGGCGGACGGGUGAGGAAUACAUCGGAAUCUACUCUGUCGUGGGGGAUAACGUAGGGAAACUUACGCUAAUACCGCAUACGACCUACGGGUGAAAGCAGGGGAUCUUCGGACCUUGCGCGAUUGAAUGAGCCGAUGUCGGAUUAGCUAGUUGGCGGGUAAAGGCCCACCAAGGCGACGAUCCGUAGCUGGUCUGAGAGGAUGAUCAGCCACACUGGAACUGAGACACGGUCCAGACUCCUACGGGAGGCAGCAGUGGGGAAUAUUGGACAAUGGGCGCAAGCCUGAUCCAGCCAUACCGCGUGGGUGAAGAAGGCCUUC